rnacentral:tRNA from 1 species
AGGGGUGUAGCUCAGUUGGUAGAGCAGCGGUCUCCAAAACCGCCGGCCGUGGGUUCGAGUCCUGCCACCCCUGCCA